CAGCAGCAGUAGUAACAACAGCAGCAGCAGCAGGAGUAGUAACAACAGCAGCAGCAGCAGCAGUAGUAACAACAGCAGCAGCAGUAACAACAGCAGCAGCAGCAGCAGCAGCAACAGCAGCAGUAGUAGCAGCAGCAGUAGUAACAGCAGCAGCAGCAGUAGUAACAGCAGCAGCAGCAGUAGUAACAGCAGCAGCAGCAGCAGUAGUAACAGCAGCAGCAGCAGUAGCAGCAACAGCAGCAGCAGCAGUAGUAACAACAGCAGCAGCAGUAGUAACAGCAGCAGCAGCAGUAGUAACAACAGCAGCAGCAGUAGUAACAACAGCAGCAGCAGUAGUAACAACAGCAGUAGUAACAGUAACAACAGCAGUAGUAACAACAGCAGCAACAGCAGUAGUAACAGCAGCAGCAGCAGUAGUAACAGCAGCAGUAGCAACAACAGCAGCAGCAGCAGCAGCAGCAGCAGUAGUAACAGCAACAGCAGCAGCAGCAGCAGCAGUAGUAACAACAGCAGCAGCAGUAGUAACAACAGCAGCAGCAGUAGUAACAACAGCAGCAGCAGCAGCAGUAGUAACAACAGCAGCAGCAGUAGUAACAACAGCAGCAGCAGUAGUAACAGCAGCAGCAGCAGUAGUAACAACAGCAGCAGCAGUAGUAACAACAGCAGCAGCAGUAGUAACAACAGCAGCAGCAGUAGUAACAACAGCAGCAGCAGUAGUAACAACAGCAGCAGCAGCAGUAGCAACAGCAGCAGUAGUAACAACAGCAGCAGCAUAAGUAACAACAGCAGCAGCAGUAGUAACAACAGCAGCAGCAGCAGUAGUAACAACAGCAGCAGCAGUAGUAACAGCAGCAGCAGCAGUAGUAACAGCAGCAGCAGCAGUAACAACAGCAGCAGCAGUAGUAACAGCAGCAGCAGCAGUAGUA
rnacentral:lncRNA from 1 species